rnacentral:rRNA from 1 species
GCCUGAGAGGGUGUCCNGCCACACUGGGACUGAGAUACGGCCCAGACUCCUACGGGAGGCAGCAGUGGGGAAUAUUGCACAAUGGGCGCAAGCCUGAUGCAGCGACGCCGCGUGGGGGAUGACGGCCUUCGGGUUGUAAACCUCUUUCAGUAGGGACGAAGCGCAAGUGACGGUACCUACAGAAGAAGGACCGGCCAACUACGUGCCAGCAGCCGCGGUAAUACGUAGGGUCCGAGCGUUGUCCGGAAUUACUGGGCGUAAAGAGCUCGUAGGUGGUUUGUCGCGUUGUUCGUGAAAUCUCACAACUCAAUUGUGAGCGUGCGAGCGAUACGGGCAGACUGGAGUACUGCAGGGGAGACUGGAAUUCC